rnacentral:rRNA from 1 species
UACGAGGGGGGCAAGCGUUGUUCGGAAUUAUUGGGCGUAAAGGGCGCGUAGGCGGCCUGGCAAGUGGAAGGUGAAAUCCCUCGGCUUAACCGAGGAACUGCCCUCCAAACUGCUUGGCUUGAGUCCGGGAGAGGUGAGUGGAAUUCCCAGUGUAGCGGUGAAAUGCGUAGAUAUUGGGAGGAACACCAGUGGCGAAGGCGGCUCACUGGACCGGAACUGACGCUGAGGCGCGAAAGCGUGGGGAGCAAACGGG